rnacentral:rRNA from 1 species
UAAUGGCAGGUCAGCAUACUGCCGUGAAUACGUUCCCGGGCCUUGUACACACCGCCCGUCACACCAUGAGAGUUGGAGAUACCCGAAGCCUGUGAGCUAACAGAAAUGGAGCAGCAGUCGAAGGUAGAAUCAAUGAUUGGGGUGAAGUCGUAACAAGGUAUC